rnacentral:rRNA from 1 species
UACGAAGGGAGCUAGCGUUGUUCGGAAUUACUGGGCGUAAAGGGCGUGUAGGCGGUCUUAUAAGUCAGAUGUGAAAGCCCCCAGGCUUAACCUGGGAGGUGCAUUUGAGACUGUAAGACUAGAGAUCGAGAGAGGAAAGUGGAAUUACGAGUGUAGAGGUGAAAAUUCGUAGAUAUUCGUAAGAACACCAGUGGCGAAGGCGGCUUUCUGGCUCGAUACUGACGCUAAGGCGCGAAAGCGUGGGGAGCAAAACAGGAUUGAGA